CACCUUUACAAUAACACAUAAACGAGCAACCCAGGUUGCCUGCUUACUUUAAAUUCUCUCCAAGUUUCAAAAGGCAUCCAUCAUUUUACAUUUUCCUCAUUUUUCACUUUGAACAUUGUAGUUUAAGCAGAAGAACAUAGUAAAUUAAUGCAUAGUAAAUUUAAGUAAAGGAGAAAGUAAUAAUAAUAUUGGCAAGGGGUUAAAAACUAAGGGAGGGGGAAUCCCCUCUGCCCCUCUUUGUAUAUUGUCUGUUUAGGGCCCAUUCCUGCAGACCCAUACUCGUGUGUGGUCCUGUUGAAAUCAAUGGCAGCACACAUGUACAUCAGGGGUGCAGGAUCAGGCACUUAGCUUCCAACUUCCUUGGGCAAAGAAUCUGGUUUAUUCUUGGGACCCAAGAACCUCUGAAUGCCAACUGGCAAAGGGGUUCAGAGAGGUUACAGAAAUCUCAUGAGUCUGGUGUGUACAUUCUAAUUCACCAAAGAAUGUUAUGCGAGGUCUCAAAGCCAGUGUUACACUGAUAUUUCACAAUGAUAUUAAUGUAUAUACAGAUACUAUGUAAGGAGAUAUGUAUAUACAGAGACUGGAAAUAUGUUUUAAAGUCUGUAUCCAGUUAUUAGUCACAAACAAAGGUGAAAAACCAGUUUUUCUCAAAAUAGGAAAUAAAAAAUGUGUAUCUCUAUGUCAGGAUGUAAAUUAAGCAUUGUAAGCUAACACAACAGAUGCCCAUUUAUAUACAAAGACAAAUCUUAAAUGUUAAUGUUAUAAACAAAGACAAUGUUAAAGUCAAAAGGGAAGCAGCACACAGGAAAAAGCAAACCACAGGGAGUUAUCCUGUCUAAGAACACAGACAAUAAACUUUGGGGGUAUUUCUGGAAGCAGACACCCUGGUACACUGCACUUAGGAAGUAAAUGAACAGCAUGCUUGCUUUCAGAAAAAUGGGGUUUCCACCAGCCUUGGUUGAAAAUGCUGAAGUGGACUCUGAGUAACAAACAUUUUUAGAUAGAAGGUUACUGUUAAUUAUGUUUAGAGGUGUCAUAAAUAUAAAGGGAAGGGUAAACACCUUUAAAAUCCCUCCUGGCCAGAGGAAAAACCCGUUUACCUGUAAAGGGUUAAGAAGCUAGGAUAACCUCGCUGGCACCUGACCAAAAUGACCAAUGAGGAGACAAGAUAUUUUCAAAGCUGGAAGGGGGAGAAACAAAGGCUCUCUCUGUCUGUGUGAUGCUUUUGCCAGGAACAGAAAAGGAAUGGCGUCUUAGAACUUAAUCUCACGGCCUACUGGUUAGUGGCAACGGUCUCAUGUUUGAUUAAUUCCGUUUACUGGAAAUCCGAUAUUCACAUGCUUCGUUUAAGGGUGUGUGGAACCCUAGGCUGGAACAGAAGCCACUGAGGAGUUUUGGAGUUAGAGUUUUCCAAGCAUUAUGGAAUAAGUGUUACUAUGGCAGCCUGGGUGGGGUCAAGUCUUGCAUAGCGGACUGUGUGUUGACAUGCAAGCUAUGAUCACUACAGAUUCCAAUGCUAAGAAGUCUCAUAACUGUCUGAAGAUACAGUCGAAUCCACUUUUCUUUCAUCUCUAGCUGAAGAAAAUAAUGGGAAGAUUUAAACAAAAGCCAUACUUAUGAAAAAAGAAGAGAGGCAGCCCUGCAAACUCAGCCUGGGAACCAAGUGUCCAAUGAAGUUAUCUGCUUAUUGCACAUCAGACCAGUUAAAAGUUCUGCAGGCCCUAAUCUACACAUGUGCAACUCUGUUAUCUUCACAUCAUGCUCUCAGUGUCACUUGUACAACCUCAUUGCUUCCAAUAGUUUUCACAGGUGUGGAAGAUUACUUCAGUCAUUUGAAUUCUGCACCAACUCUGCUUUCCUAGUGGUAGAAAUAUUGAACACCGCUGAGAGAAUCAGGAUGAUUCAGAACACCAGACCAUGCCAUGUUAAAUAUACAAUAUACCUCAAUUUCAGCAACGUUUAAAGAAGAGGAAUUUCAGCCUUGCACUAAUUGAAAUCAACCUGAAGCAGUCAGAGCUUUUUGGAGAGCUAAAAUCAUAAUUGCAUUCCUAAAGGCAGCACCCUGUGUAAAAUUAAAUGUACUUGAGUAUUCUGAAAGCUUGACUAAUGCAGUAAAUGAUUGGUCCUUGAGGAUUGCUGUAGAUAUUUGUCAUUCAGCAUGGAAUCAGGUCAGCAGCUAAAAUUAACUACCCACCUCUUACCUGUACAGCAUAUGGAAUCGCUGCUUUUCGUUCUGCUCAGUUUGGGGCCUCCCAAAAUGGGUUCAUUCUUACUGUGAGCCUAAAUUAUGGAUAAUCAAUUAAUACUGACGGACACCAAUCAUUCCUAUUGUGUUGGGAAUCAGACUCUCCCUUUGACUCCAGUCUGUAUUGAUUGGUUCUCGGGCAGCCUGCCAUUGCUGUUUGCUGCCUCCUAUUCCAUCCCCUGUUAAUCUGCCUAAGCAAGGCCUGCAAGCCCUACAUAAAUGAUCAUUUCUCUUCAUUAGUGUGAUUCUGCCUGCAUGAAUUCGGUAACAUAUGGGAUAUUAUCAUAAAGCAGCCUAUUUCUCCAAUUCAUUUUCUCCUUUAUGAAGAUUAUUAAAUGUACUGCAAGUGUAUUGGACACAAUAAGACAGGAGAUUCUACUGUAUAGUUUAUCGCUGAUUUCAUUUAUCAAAUGCAAAUAGCCUCCCUUUCCCCAGUAACACUGUGCUAACAUAUUAUAAAAGCUGCUGACUCUCCCUCCUUCAUUUCCUCUAAUUUAUUAUGGGUCUGAUCUGUAAUGCAAGGAUGAGAUUUUAGUGAUCAACAGAACUAGCAGAUACAGUCUGAUGGAAAAACUAGAAGUACAAUAACUGUCUAGUCAACUCUAAUCAUCGCCACAAUCUGACUACGCAUGAACAUGAAAGAUAAUCAUUUUGACGAUGGAUUAUGUACAUUCAAAAAUGUGCUUUAUACCCCUCUCCCCUUCCCCGAUUUCCUGCCUAUUACAAGAAAGAGCAAAUAACAUGAGUCUGCUGGGGUGAGUUGUUUCCAUGCUACCACUGAAUGAGCACUUUGCUUGGGAAUGUUGUGAACAUCGGUGUAGUUCCAUCUACUUGUGAGAUUUAUUAAUUAGUAGGCGUGUCUCUCCAUUUAAUAAGAUGUGCAUGCCCUCUACUGGUGCAUAUAUGCAUUUUAAAGAAAAAAAUCACAUUCUACACAUCUAAAUUGUUUGAUAACAUAAAUCAGGUAAGAAACAAUUCUUCAGUGCAUGCAGCUGCCCAUUGCUUUCUCUGAGUGCAGUACGUAAUCAUGUGAAUUCAAAUUAUUUUACUAGCUCCACUUUGAUCCAAGUUAACUGUUUUGUCAUUGUUUGCGAUUAUUAGUUUUUUUAAGCCUGGUCACUUAUGCCAUUAUUGCUUGGGUUUGAUUUAGAGGAUUAAAAACAGGUCAUUGUGGUUCCA